CCGCCUCUGUCCUCGGGUCCGCUCCGCUCUGCUCCCUGGUGUGUUGAUUCUUCCCCCAGCUGCUGCCUAAUGGAGUCCAGGCGCUCGCGUCACAGGAAAUGCCUAUACUGCCCUCCUCACUCACUUCCGGUGGCAGGCAGAAAGGCAUUUGAGAGCAGGGCCUGUGUCCCAAGCCUAUGGCCCUCUGUGCCGUGAUUGGAGCCUCAUGGCUUGGUGGAGAGGCUUAGCACUUGCUUCUUGAAGAAAUGAUGGAAAUGACUGGGCCUGUUUCCCAGUGUCAGCUGAGAUGCACUGAAGGAUGCGUUUCUGCAAGACUGUGGCUCUCCCAGCUGUCACAGGCUGCUGCUGGUGACCUGAGCCUCCAUGGACGGUAUGUCCGCCUCUGGCAGAAAAGAGAAAGGGACAGCAGGGGGCACCAAACCCACACAGUUGUGCUGGAGAGGCUGGAGUCCGGGCCAUCCACGAUCUCCAAACCCAUACACCUGUAGGUGGGCCACUGUCAGACCCUCUCCAGGCUCCUCUCUCUGUUGUGCUGAUGGGAGACAGUGGCCCUCAAGGAGAAGAUCCAAGAUAUGAAAACCAAGGCAUUGAAAACCACACAGUGUCACGAUGCAGGACUGGAAUUUGAACCUUCCAUUUCUGAACAUAAAUCCAACAUUUCCCCAUCAUUCCUUUCUUCUCCUUCCCAUUGUUCCAUUCUCCAUCCUGGCU